rnacentral:rRNA from 1 species
CCCUUAGAUGUCCGGGGCUGCACGCGCGCUACACUGUAGAAAGCAGCGUGCUUUAAAACCUUUCCUGAAAAGGAUGGGUAACCCCAGCAAAAUUCUACGUGCUUGGGAUAGAGAUUUGCAAUUUUCUCUCUUGAACGAGGAAUUCCCAGUAAGUGCGAGUCAUCAGCUCGCGUUGAUUACGUCCCUGCCCUUUGUACACACCGCCCGUCGCUCCUACCGAUUGAGUGUGUUGGUGAGGAGUUCGGAUUGGCUCUUAGUGGUGGUUCGCCACCACCUAGAGCUGAGAAGUUCUCCAAACCGCCCCACUUAGAGGAAGGAGAAGUCGUAACA